GCGGUGGCGGUGGCAGCGGGAUAUCGUUUGGCGGCGGCGGCAGCGAGUCCCUGGACUUCACGUUCAGAACCGGCGCCGGUGCCAAUCGGAGUGAAGGAUCCUCCCAUGGUGGAAGCAGAGAAGGUAUUGGUGGAAAUGAGGGUACCAUUGGCUACCGAGGGCCUGGAUACAACCCAAAUUUUUCACAUGCCGACGAAUACCCUCCUAGUCAAGAGGCUGUUCAAACCCAAAGACAACCUAUCGAUUUGAAUGUUUUGUCGAACAAGGAGACAAGAAGACAGUACCGUAUCGAUGAUAGGCGUCACAUAUAUACUGAGAUCAUUGCCCGUAAUGGUACGGGUAAUAGGUUGAAGCAUGGAGUUUCUAAAG